GUGGGGAAUAUUGGACAAUGGGCGCAAGCCUGAUCCAGCCAUGCCGCGUGAGUGAUGAAGGCCUUAGGGUUGUAAAGCUCUUUCAGUGGGGACGAUAAUGACGGUACCCACAGAAGAAGCCCCGGCUAACUUCGUGCCAGCAGCCGCGGUAAUACGAAGGGGGCUAGCGUUGUUCGGAUUUACUGGGCGUAAAGCGCACGUAGGCGGAUUGGUCAGUUAGAGGUGAAAUCCUGGAGCUCAACUCCAGAACUGCCUUUAAUACUGCCAGUCUAGAGUCCAGAAGAGGUGAGUGGAACUCCUAGUGUAGAGGUGGAAUUCGUAGAUAUUAGGAAGAACACCAGUGGCGAAGGCGGCUCACUGGUCUGGUACUGACGCUGAGGUGCGAAAGCGUGGGGAGCAAACAGGAUUAGAUACCCGUGUAGUCC
rnacentral:rRNA from 1 species